rnacentral:rRNA from 2 species
AAACUAACAAGGAUUCCCCUAGUAACGGCGAGUGAAGCGGGAAGAGCUCAAAUUUGAAAUCUGGCAGUCUUCGAUUGUCCGAGUUGUAAUCUAUAGAGGCGUUUUCCGUGCCGGACCGUGUCCAAGUCUCCUGGAAAGGAGUAUCAAAGAGGGUGAUAAUCCCGUACUUAACACGAUAACCGGUGCUCUGUGAUACGUCUUCUACGAGUCGAGUUGUUUGGGAAUGCAGCUCAAAAUGGGUGGUGAAUUCCAUCUAAAGCUAAAUAUUGGCGAGAGACCGAUAGCGAACAAGUACCGUGAGGGAAAGAUGAAAAGCACUUUGGAAAGAGAGUUAAACAGUACGUGAAAUUGUUGAAAGGGAAACGAUUGAAGUCAGUCGUGUUCUUUGGAUUCAGCCAGUUCUGCUGGUCUACUUCCUUAGAACGGGUCAACAUCAGUUUUGUCCGGUGGAUAAAGGUAGUAGGAAUGUAGCUUCUUUGAAGUGUUAUAGCCUAUUGCCACAUACACUGGGUGAGACUGAGGACUGCAGCUCGCCUUUAUGGCCGGUCUUCGGACACGUUCGAGCUUAGGAUGUUGACAUAAUGGCUUUAAACGAC